rnacentral:rRNA from 1 species
CUGGCUCAGGAUGAACGCUGGCGGCGUGCUUAACACAUGCAAGUCGAGCGAAGCACUUUUAAGGAAGUUUUCGGAUGGAAUUAAAAGUGACUGAGCGGCGGACGGGUGAGUAACGCGUGGGUAACCUGCCUCAUACAGGGGGAUAACAGUUGGAAACGACUGCUAAUACCGCAUAAGCGCACAGUGCUGCAUGGCACAGUGUGAAAAACUCCGGUGGUAUGAGAUGGACCCGCGUCUGAUUAGGUAGUUGGUGAGGUAACGGCCCACCAAGCCGACGAUCAGUAGCCGACCUGAGAGGGUGACCGGCCACAUUGGGACUGAGACACGGCCCAAACUCUUACGGGAGGCAGCAAUGGGGAAUAUUGGACAACGGGGGAAUCCCUGAUCCAGUGACGCCGCUAGAGUGAAGAAGUAUUUCGGUAGGUAAAACUUUAUCAGCAGGGAAGAAAAUGACGGUACUUGACUAAGAAGCCCCGGCUAAUUACUUGCCAGCAGCCGCGGUAAUACUUAGGGGGCAACCGUUAUCCGGAUUUAUUGGGGGUAAAGGGGGGGUAGCCGGCGAUUCAAUUCGGGAGUGAAAGCCCGGGGUUCAACCCCGGGACUGCUUUGGAAACUGUGUUGCUGGAGUCCAGGAGAGGUAAGUGGAAUUCCUAGUGAGCGGUGAAAUGCGUAGAUAUUAGGAGGAACACCAGUGGCGAAGGCGGCUUACUGGACGGUAACUGACGUUGAGGCUGGAAGGCUUGGGGAGCAACCAGGAUUAGUUACCCUGGUAGUCCACCCCGUAAACGAUGAUUAUUAGUUGUUGGGGAGCUAAAGCUCUUCAGUGCCGCAGCUAACGCAAUAAGCUAUCCCCCCUGGAUACUCCAUCC